GACGAACGCUGGCGGCGUGCUUAACACAUGCAAGUCGAACGGUAAGGCCCUUCGGGGUACACGAGUGGCGAACGGGUGAGUAACACGUGGGUGAUCUGCCCUGCACUUCGGGAUAAGCCUGGGAAACUGGGUCUAAUACCGGAUAGGACCACUGCCUGCAUGGGUGGUGGUGGAAAGCUGUUGCGGUGUGGGAUGGGCCCGCGGCCUAUCAGCUUGUUGGUGGGGUGAUGGCCUACCAAGGCGACGACGGGUAGCCGGCCUGAGAGGGUGACCGGCCACACUGGGACUGAGGUACGGCCCAGACUCCUACGGGAGGCAGCAGUGGGGAAUAUUGCACAAUGGGCGCAAGCCUGAUGCAGCGACGCCGCGUGAGGGAUGACUGCCUUCGGGUUGUAAACUUCUUUCAGCACCGACGAAGCGCAAGUGACGGUAGGUGCAGAAGAAGGACCGGCCAACUACGUGCCAGCCGCCGCCGUAA
rnacentral:rRNA from 1 species